rnacentral:pre_miRNA from 1 species
AGUGCAAUUGCUAGGUCAUAUGGGAAGUGAGCUUUUGAUUUUUAAAGAAACUAUCAAACUGUUUUCUGGAGUAGCUGUACCAUUUUGCCUUGCUACCAGCAAU